rnacentral:rRNA from 1 species
CACACCGCCCGUCACACCAUGAAAGUUGGCUGUACCAGAAGUCGCUGCACUAACUUCGGAAGUAGGCGCCCAAGGUAUGGUCGAUGAUUGGGUG